rnacentral:rRNA from 1 species
GAAUUGUUCGCAAUGGGCGCAAGCCUGACGACGCAACGCCGCGUGGAGGAUGAAGGUCUUCGGAUUGUAAACUCCUGUUGAUCGGGACGAACAUCCAUCGGGUUAAUAACCCGGCGGACUGACGGUACCGGUUGAGGAAGCCCCGGCUAACUCUGUGCCAGCAGCCGCGGUAAGACGGAGGGGGCUGGCGUUGUUCGGAAUUACUGGGCGUAAAGCGCACGUAGGCGGCCUUUCAAGUCAGAUGUGAAAGCCCCGAGCUUAACUCGGGAACUGCAUUUGAUACUGUUGGGCUUGAGACCGGGAGAGGAUAGCGGAAUUCCCAGUGUAGAGGUGAAAUUCGUAGAUAUUGGGAAGAACACCAGUGGCGAAGGCGGCUAUCUGGACCGGUACUGACGCUGAGGUGCGAAAGCGUGGGGAGCAAAC